GAUUGACAGGAAGUAUCGUCUUUUGAAAUCUUUAAGUACAUGUCGUUUCUAAUGACAUCUUUUAGAUGAAUGAUUCGUGUAAAUAUGCUAGUUCUUUCAUGAUUAUGUGAUAGGUGGUGCAUGGCCGUUCUUAGUUCGUGGAGUGAUCUGUCUGCUUAAUUGCGUUUCACUAUGGCCCCAAAGUUAGCAAGUUAUCCAAUCAUGACCUUCGUCGACCCCUCACCUUUGAGUGCGCGUCCUAGCUUAGAGUACAUGGUGUAAAUGGACUUGUUUUGGGUACCCAGAAAGCAACGAACGUGACCGCAACGUCUUGUUGUCUCUCUUUUGACAGUUAUGGGUUAUCCCAGUCAUGUGCUUAUACUUUUAUGUGUAAAUACGUACGACACAGAGACUAGAUACCAAACUAGGCGUACCGCUGUAUCAUUUCUUUAAACCAGAGGAAGGUUGCGGCAAUAACAGGUCUGUGAUGC
rnacentral:rRNA from 1 species